rnacentral:rRNA from 1 species
GACGAACGCUGGCGGCGUGCCUAAUACAUGCAAGUAGAACGCUGAAGAGAGGAGCUUGCUCUUCUUGGAUGAGUUGCGAACGGGUGAGUAACGCGUAGGUAACCUGCCUGGUAGCGGGGGAUAACUAUUGGAAACGAUAGCUAAUACCGCAUAAAAUUGAUUAUUGCAUGAUAAUUAAUUGAAAGAUGCAACUGCAUCACUACCAGAUGGACCUGCGUUGUAUUAGCUAGUUGGUGAGGUAACGGCUCACCAAGGCGACGAUACAUGGCCGACCUGAGAGGGUGAUCGGCCACACUGGGACUGAGACACGGCCCAGACUCCUACGGGAGGCAGCAGUAGGGAAUCUUCGGCAAUGGGGGGAACCCUGACCGAGCAACGCCGCGGGAGUGAAGAAGGUUUUCGGAUCGUAAAGCUCUGUUGUAAGAGAAGAACGGGUGUGAGAGUGGAAAGUUCACACUGUGACGGUAUCUUACCAGAAAGAGACGGCUAACUACGUG